rnacentral:rRNA from 1 species
UACGGGGGGGGCAAGCGUUGUUCGGAAUUACUGGGCGUAAAGGGCGAGUAGGCGGCCUUCUAAGUCAGACGUGAAAUCCCCCGGCUUAACCUGGGAACUGCGUCUGAUACUGGGAGGCUCGAGUAUGGGAGAGGGAUGUAGAAUUCCAGGUGUAGCGGUGAAAUGCGUAGAUAUCUGGAGGAACACCCGUAGCGAAGGCGGCACUCUGGGCCGAUACUGACACUGAGGAGCGAAAGCGUGGGGAGCGAACAGG